UACGUAGGGGGCUAGCGUUGUCCGGAUUUAUUGGGCGUAAAGAGCGUGUAGGCGGCCUGGUAGGUCUGCUGUGAAAACUCGAGGCUCAACCUCGAGAUGUCGGCGGAAACCAUCUGGCUAGAGUCCGGAAGAGGCGAGUGGAAUUCCCGGUGUAGCGGUGAAAUGCGCAGAUAUCGGGAGGAACACCAGUGGCGAAGGCGGUUACCUGGAGCUUUGCUGACGCUGAUGCGCGAAAGCGUGGGGAGCGAUCCGG
rnacentral:rRNA from 1 species